CUAAAUUAGCUUCUAUUAUGGCACCGUACUUUUGCUUCUUCUGGUUUCCUCCGUCUCUAUCUUUCCCCGCCGCCCCUGUUACUCAUUCUCGUGCGUUUCGCCGGGUUGCCCGCCGCUGCUCUCUGCUCGUCGUCCUCCACGGCGGCCGCCCCGGUUCCAACGCUCGGGUCUCCCGGGGCGCGCCUGGUGGGGUGUCCGCCGGGCGUCCGCACCGUCCGGCCGGCCUGAUUCCAUCGCUCCGACCUCGCUGCACGCGCCCGAUAGGGGUGUGCGCGGCCGCUCCGUCCUCGCUGCGCGUGCCCGGCAGGGGUGGGCGCCGGUUGUCUGCCGCGUCCACCCAAUCUGGCUGGGGCUGCCGUUGUGUCCCUGUUUUCCCUCCUCUGCGUUCGUUCUGUUCCUCAUGUUGCACGAAGGUGCAGCUUCGCUGGGUCAGUCUUCCUGUCCCGUUCGUUGUUACUAGGGUUCUGUAUUCACCGUGUUGGCCUGUUUACAGAUUGCCUCCACCUAGGACUCAACCAGAGUUCUUGUCAUUCUCUAUUGUUCAGAUGACGCAUCAGAGAUUCCAGAAUCUCAUAAUCAUGGACAAAGGCGAUCUAAAGGACAUAGACGUGAAUGCCUCUGCCAAUGCGCUGAUUGCAAUUGUCCCAGAAACAAUUUCAGACACAUUCAGCCACUACGAGCUCACCGAAGCAAUCCAGCACCAGUUCCAGGAUCGAGUACAAAAUCAGCAGCCAAGGAAGACUGACAAUGAUACCCAAAAUCACACAUUUGGGCAUUAGGAAUUUAACUACACAAAAUGACAUGGUCAACAUUUGGCAGCUAAGUUACCAGACAUUCACAGACUAGAUGCUAGGCAGAACAACGCCACCAAGAGACCGUUAUUCCGACCACCGCGGAUAUUCACACCUUGAUACGGAGCAGAAAAUGGAGCUGUUAGAUUGUGACGGCCGCAACGAGGCAACCGCCCGACACCGAGAAACGUCUGGAACUUCGUCGACAGAAACACCAGACUACUCUUACAACUAAGAAUGGAAUUGGAGACAGAGACCCACCACUCAAAAAUCACUCCAACAGAGGCCUACAUCAACGUCAUCGCUACUCUUGUAUAAUAUUUGUACAAACAACCAAGAACCGCCAAUGAGCAGUACCUCAUCCUGUCGUACUCUAAUUAAAACUACCAGCUUGUACCUGUCUACUACGUAAAUCAGGUCUUUCCCUGUGUACAUCAAGGCCUGGCAAACACUACGUCAACGCCCAGAUGCAUAAUAAACCUGCAUGUUCUCCA